rnacentral:rRNA from 1 species
AUUGAACGCCGGCGGAAUGCUUUACACAUGCAAGUCGAACGGCAGCACGGGGCAACCUGGUGGCGAGUGGCGAACGGGUGAGUAAUACAUCGGAACGUGCCCAAUCGUGGGGGAUAACGUAGCGAAAGUUACGCUAAUACCGCAUACGAUCUACGGAUGAAAGCGGGGGAUCGCAAGACCUCGCGCGAAUGGAGCGGCCGAUGUCAGAUUAGGUAGUUGGUGGGGUAAAGGCUCACCAAGCCAACGAUCUGUAGCUGGUCUGAGAGGACGACCAGCCACACUGGAACUGAGACACGGUCCAGACUCCUACGGGAGGCGGCAGUGGGGAAUUUUGGACAAUGGGCGCAAGCCUGAUCCAGCCAUUCCGCGUGCAGGAUGAAGGCCUUCGGUU